rnacentral:rRNA from 1 species
AGUGGCGGACGGGUGAGUAAUGCUUGGGAACUUGCCUUUGCGAGGGGGAUAACAGUUGGAAACGACUGCUAAUACCGCAUAAUGUCUUCGGACCAAACGGGGCUUCGGCUCCGGCGCAAAGAGAGGCCCAAGUGAGAUUAGCUAGUUGGUAAGGUAACGGCUUACCAAGGCGACGAUCUCUAGCUGUUCUGAGAGGAAGAUCAGCCACACUGGGACUGAGACACGGCCCAGACUCCUACGGGAGGCAGCAGUGGGGAAUAUUGCACAAUGGGGGAAACCCUGAUGCAGCCAUGCCGCGUGUGUGAAGAAGGCCUUCGGGUUGUAAAGCACUUUCAGUUGUGAGGAAAAGUUAGUAGUUAAUACCUGCUAGCCGUGACGUUAACAACAGAAGAAGCACCGGCUAACUCCGUGCCAGCAGCCGCGGUAAUACGGAGGGUGCGAGCGUUAAUCGGAAUUACUGGGCGUAAAGCGCACGCAGGCGGUUUGUUAAGCUAGAUGUGAAAGCCCCGGGCUCAACCUGGGAUGGUCAUUUAGAACUGGCAGACUAGAGUCUUGGAGAGGGGAGUGGAAUUCCAGGUGUAGCGGUGAAAUGCGUAGAUAUCUGGAGGAACAUCAGUGGCGAAGGCGACUCCCUGGCCAAAGACUGACGCUCAUGUGCGAAAGUGUGGGUAGCGAACAGGAUUAGAUACCCUGGUAGUCCACACCGUAAACGCUGUCUACUAGCUGUGUGUGUCUU